GACGAACGCUGGCGGCGUGCUUAACACAUGCAAGUCGAACGGAAAGGCCCUGCUUUUGUGGGGUGCUCGAGUGGCGAACGGGUGAGUAACACGUGAGUAACCUGCCCUUGACUUUGGGAUAACUUCAGGAAACUGGGGCUAAUACCGGAUAGGAGCUCCUGCUGCAUGGUGGGGGUUGGAAAGUUUCGGCGGUUGGGGAUGGACUCGCGGCUUAUCAGCUUGUUGGUGGGGUAGUGGCUUACCAAGGGUUUGACGGAUAGCCGGCCUGAGAGGGUGACCGGCCACAUUGGGACUGAGAUACGGCCCAGACUCCUACGGGAGGCAGCAGUGGGGAAUAUUGCACAAUGGGCGGAAGCCUGAUGCAGCAACGCCGCGUGCGGGAUGACGGCCUUCGGGUUGUAAACCGCUUUCGCCUGUGACGAAGCGUGAGUGACGGUAAUGGGUAAAGAAGCACCGGCUAACUACGUG
rnacentral:rRNA from 1 species